GAGGGUAUAGCUCAAGUGGUAGGUAGAGUGUGUGCCUCACAUGUAUGAGGUCUUGGGCUCAAUUCCCAGUACCUCCA
rnacentral:tRNA from 1 species